rnacentral:rRNA from 1 species
CCCUUAGAUGUUCUGGGCUGCACGCGCGCUACACUGAUGCGCUCAACGAGUUUUAACCUUGCCUGGAAAGGUUGGGUAAUCUUUUUAAAACGCAUCGUGAUGGGGAUAGAUUAUUGCAAUUAUUAAUCUUCAACGAGGAAUUCCUAGUAGGCGCAAGUCAUCAGCUUGCGUCGAUUACGUCCCUGCCCUUUGUACACACCGCCCGUCGCUCCUACCGAUUGGGUGUGCUGGUGAAAUGUUCGGAUCGGCCGUUUGUCGCGGUUUCCGCGUCAUGUGGCUGAGAAGUUCAUUAAACCCUCCCACCUAGAGGAAGGAGAAGUCGUAACA